UCCUCAAGUUAUCUUGCUUCAUUUUCCCCUAAAUGACUUUGGUCUGUUCAUCUUAAGAGAAGUACACGAAGGAAUAUGUCCUGUAUUUGUCGUAAGUCUACCACAGCUCAUUUUCCUCUAGUCUAUUCGGCUUCAAAAAGAGUUUGGACGC